CGCGAUUCUCAAACACACUGAUUCAGGCGAUUCUAACACAUCGGAAGGGGAAGGGGAUAAUUAAGGAUGAUAAAGGCAAAUAAGAUACCUUGAUUGUACUGUAAGGCACAUACUUCCUCAGUUUCCUCCUCCUGAACGCAGGGGACCUUGCUAAAGGAGUUUGAGAGCACUUUGACUUCCAACACUUGAGCAGGUUAUUCAUGCAUGGUUAAGCUAUUUUCCAAUCAAAGGAGAUCUUAUUGAGGCUAAAGGUGUUCACGAGAUACUUUGUUCAUUGGUCGAAAGGCAA